rnacentral:misc_RNA from 1 species
GAUGAAGAACGUAGCGAAAUGCGAUACUUAGUGUGAAUUGCAGAAUCCCGUGAACCAUCGAGUCUUUGAACGCAAGUUGCGCCUCAAGCCAUUAGGUUGAGGGCACGUCUGCCUCGGCGUCACAUAUCGUUGCCUGAUGCCAGUUUCCUCGUGAUGGGUGACUGUGCAGGGCGAAUGAUGGCUUCCCGUGAGCAUUGUUGCCUCAUGGUUGGUUGAAAAUUGAGUCCUUGGUAGGGAGCGCCGUGAUAGAUGGUGGUUGAGUGACGAACGAGACCCAAUCAUGUGAGACCCCUACCGAAUUUGGCCUUCAUGACCCACAUGCGUCUUUGGAACGCUCAUGACGAGACCUCAGGUCAGGCGGGGCUACCCGCUGAGUUUAAGCAUAUCAAUAAGCGGAGGA